CAUGCAAGUCGAACGAGAAAGCGUUCUUCGGAACGCGAGUACAGUGGCGGACGGGUGAGUAACACGUGGGGAACCUGCCCACAAGCUGGGAACAACCCGCCUAACGGCGGGCUAAUACCGAAUGUGGUUGUCAAUCCGCAUGGUAUGACAACUAAAGGUGGCCUCUCCUUGGAAGCUGCCGCUUGUGGAUGGCCCCGCGCUCAAUUAGCUAGUUGGUAGGGUAACGGCCUACCAAGGCUACGAUUGAUAGCCGACCUGAGAGGGUGAUCGGCCACACUGGGAUUGAGAUAAGGCCCAGUCUCCUACGGGAGCCAGCAGUCUAGAAAUUUGGGCAAUGGGCGAAAGCCUGACCCAGCGACGCCGCGUGGGGGAUGAAGCUUCUCGGAGUGUAAACCCCUGUUAGGUGGGACGAAAGCCCGUAUAUGAAUAGUAGGCGGGUUUGACGGUACCACCCGAGGAAGCUCCGGCUAACUCCGUGCCAGCAGCCGCGGUAAUACGGGGGGAGCAAGCGUUGUUCGGAGUUAUUGGGCGUAAAGGGCGUACAGGCGGUGGUGUCAGUCAGAUGUGAAAUCCCCCGGCUCAACCGGGGACCUGCAUUUGAUACUGCAUCACUUGAGUACAGGAGAGGAGAGCGGAAUUUUCGGUGUAGCGGUGGAAUGUGUAGAUAUCGAAAAGAACACCAGUGGCGAAGGCGGCUCUCUGGCCUGAUACUGACG
rnacentral:rRNA from 1 species